rnacentral:lncRNA from 1 species
ACGAGGCGCGGGGCGCGGAGUGGCAAGAGCGCAGCAUGGGCUGCGCAGAACUGAGGCAGACACCCAGAGGCUGCCAAAUUGUCAUCUGAGCCGGACCGGGUUUCGGCGGCCGCGCUUUAUAGUCGCUGGAGCCUGGUGACCUAUUCCAGGGCUACAAGACUGCCUCGGCAAACAGCCCAAGGAUGUUCGGUUAUCUCGCCUUGAGGGUUCGCGCGUCACGUGCCCCCCCCGUCCCCCGCUUGUUUUUCAGUUUAAAAGUGGGGCCCGUGUCUGCAGGACUCUAGGAGCUGCGGGCCCACCCAUUCACUGAUGUUACCCUCUCCUGUCAUUUCUCCUUUGUGAAGGGCACUGAAAAUCUUGAGUUUUCUUGGGAAAGAGAAGACAUCAAACAGGCAUAUGAGGUAGAGGAUAAUAAAGAAUAUUACCUCCUUUUCAAGUACCUUGAUUUUUUUGAAGUUUUCUCGAAGUUGGUUUACCAGUUUCACAAUAACACAGAGCAACUAGAAGAUCAAAAUUCCUUGUAUGAGGGAAGAGUAUCUGUGGACCAGGCUGAAAUUUCUGAGGGGACUCUAUCACUUUUACUAAGAAAUGUGGAUUUCAUGGAUGAAGCUAUCUACAAGUGCUCAGCCAUCACACCAGAUGGAAGAGGUGAAAGUACAAUUAAGCUAAUAGUAGAAGACUCUGAAAUGCCCCAGGUGCAAUUUGACAGGAUUGAUGAUGAGGAUGUGGCCACAUGCAUCUCAAAGGACUAGUACCUCACGCCCAUUGUGACAUGGCUGGACCGGACAGAGAGGGACCUGAGCAACCACAGCAUCGUGGAAAUCCUGGAGGAGCAGAUGAAUGGCUUCUACAGGGUGUUCUCCAUCCUGAAAUACC